rnacentral:rRNA from 1 species
UACGAAGGGGGCUAGCGUUGCUCGGAAUCACUGGGCGUAAAGCGCACGUAGGCGGAUCUUUAAGUCAGGGGUGAAAUCCUGGAGCUCAACUCCAGAACUGCCUUUGAUACUGAAGAUCUUGAGUCCGGGAGAGGUGAGUGGAACUGCGAGUGUAGAGGUGAAAUUCGUAGAUAUUCGCAAGAACACCAGUGGCGAAGGCGGCUCACUGGCCCGGUACUGACGCUGAGGCACGAAAGCGUGGGGAGCAAACAGG